rnacentral:piRNA from 1 species
UCCACAAAUACAGCGUGGAGACGGUUC